GAUGAACGCUGGCGGCGUGCCUAAUACAUGCGAGUCGAGCGAACGGACGAGAAGCUUGCUUCUCUGAUGUUAGCGGCGGACGGGUGAGUAACACGUGGAUAACCUACCUAUAAGACUGGGAUAACUUCGGGAAACCGGAGCUAAUACCGGAUAAUAUUUUGAACCGCAUGGUUCAAAAGUGAAAGACGGUCUUGCUGUCACUUAUAGAUGGAUCUGCGCUGCAUUAGCUAGUUGGUAAGGUAACGGCUUACCAAGGCAACGAUGCAUAGCCGACCUGAGAGGGUGAUCGGCCACACUGGAACUGAGACACGGUCCAGACUCCUACGGGAGGCAGCAGUAGGGAAUCUUCCGCAAUGGGCGAAAGCCUGACGGAGCAACGCCGCGUGAGUGAUGAAGGUCUUCGGAUCGUAAAACUCUGUUAUUAGGGAAGAACAUAUGUGUAAGUAACUGUGCACAUCUUGACGGUACCUAAUCAGAAAGCCACGGCUAACUACGUG
rnacentral:rRNA from 1 species